ACUGCCCCUGUUGAUGGUAUUUAUCAAAUCAGUUUCUCGUAUUUGCAACGGAAUGGUUAUCAGAGUUAUGUGAAGUUGAUGAAAGAUGGCAGCCAGUAUACUCUCGUGCACGCAAACCACAAGAAUCAUGAUCAGUUGAGUAAGACAGUUCUUAUACAAUUGAAGAAAGGUCAGAACGUGUGGGUUCGUCUGGUCAAAAAUUCUUCCUUUGCUGUUUAUGGCCUAGAAAGAUACACGACAUUUGCUGGAUAUUUAAUCUCCCACUAGUGAACUCACAAUCAGUAAGAAAGAAAAAUGGACAUUGGAAAGCAAUCUUUAUAGCCAGUUAUACAUGUAUACUGUUGAUUAAAUAUGAAAAAAUCUG